GCCAGAAUAGCUCAGCGGUAGAGCAACCGCCUUGUAAGCGGUAGGUCCCCAGUUCAAUCCUGGGUUCUGGCU
rnacentral:tRNA from 1 species